GACCAAGAGGUUAAGUUAUAUAGGUAGGUAUAAAAGACAGUUAGGUAUAAAUUAAAUCAAUAGUUUAUUAAAUUUUUAUAAAAAAGUAAAAUUUGUAUAUAAAAAACUAAUUUAAAAAUAACUAUAUUACUGAAGCUGUGACAGUUUUGAGGGAAACUGGGAUUAGAUACCCCAUUAUUCUUAAUUGUAAAUUAAAUUAAAUUUACCAGAGUACUAUGAAUAUUACAAAAAUUUAAAACUCAAAGGGCUUGGCGGUGUUUUAGACCUAUCAGGGGAACCUGUCUCAUAAUCGACAAUCCACGUUAAACCUAACCUUAUUUUGUAUUCAGUCUGUAUACCGUCGUCGUCAGGUAACUUUUAAAAACUUAGAAGUUAGCAAAAUUAACCAUAAGUUGAUACGUCAGAUCAAGGUGCAGCUAAUAAUAAGGAGAGGAUGGGUUACAAUUACUUUAUUUGUAAUUACGGAAAAUUAAAUGAAAAAUAUUUUAAAGGAGGACUUGAAAGUAAAAAAUAAUAUAUAAACAUUUUGAAUAAGGCUCUGAAACGUGC
rnacentral:rRNA from 1 species